UACACUCCUGCGGGAGGCAGCAGUGGGGAAUAUUGGACAAUGGGCGCAAGCCUGAUCCAGCCAUGCCGCGUGAGUGAUGAAGGCCCUAGGGUUGUAAAGCUCUUUCACCGGAGAAGAUAAUGACGGUAUCCGGAGAAGAAGCCCCGGCUAACUUCGUGCCAGCAGCCGCGGUAAUACGAAGGGGGCUAGCGUUGUUCGGAAUUACUGGGCGUAAAGCGCACGUAGGCGGAUCGAUCAGUCAGGGGUGAAAUCCCAGGGCUCAACCCUGGAACUGCCUUUGAUACUGUCGAUCUGGAGUAUGGAAGAGGUGAGUGGAAUUCCGAGUGUAGAGGUGAAAUUCGUAGAUAUUCGGAGGAACACCAGUGGCGAAGGCGGCUCACUGGUCCAUUACUGACGCUGAGGUGCGAAAGCGUGGGGAGCAAACAGGAUUAGAAACCCCUGUAGUCCCAUGAU
rnacentral:rRNA from 1 species